UACGUAGGUGGCAAGCGUUGUCCGGAAUUAUUGGGCGUAAAGCGCGCGCAGGCGGUCCUUUAAGUCUGAUGUGAAAGCCCACGGCUCAACCGUGGAGGGUCAUUGGAAACUGGGGGACUUGAGUGCAGGAGAGAAGAGUGGAAUUCCACGUGUAGCGGUGAAAUUCGUAGAUAUCCGGAGGAACACCGGUGGCGAAGGCGGCUUCCUGGACCGACACUGACGCUGAGGCGCGAAAGCUAGGGGAGCAAACGGG
rnacentral:rRNA from 1 species